UGGAGGGCAUGUCUGGUGCCAGCAGCCGCGGUAAUUCCAGCUCCCAUAGCGUAUAUUAAAGUUGUUGCAGUUAAAAAGCUCGUAGUUGAAUUUCGGGGUUCCACCGUUGGUCGGGCUAUUGUCUGUACUGGCGUGUGGAAUUUCUACCUUCUGGGGAACCAUCAUGUUAUUUAUUUAGCGUGGUGGGAAACCAGGACCUUUACCUUGAAAAAAUUAGAGUGUGUAAAGCAGGC
rnacentral:rRNA from 1 species